UCCUUUGAAAUCGAUAGGUUAACGAUGUCCAUUAUUUGGGAGGUCGAAGGAUUAGUUUGAAAUAGUCUAAAAAUUUGAAAGAUUUGUUUAAAAUUUUUUAAAAUUAAAGAUGUUUCAAUCUUAAGUUGAGGAGGUAUCUCUAUAUUUUUCUACGAAAAUAAAUGGCCUAGCAAGAGUGCCACCUCGAGUGAUCAGGACAGGCGGU
rnacentral:lncRNA from 1 species